AUUAAAAUGAACUACAACUUCCGUUUAAGAACCCAACAGCUUUUACGUCCACGUUGAAGAGUGUUAGGAUUAAACGGUUUCUGUUACAAAACAUAUGAAACGUUUUGCAACAUAAUCGGCGUAAUGAAUACACCCCCAGGUACUUGCGGUUGUGUUUGAAUGUGAGCUGUGACUGGGCCGUGUGAUCCCGGUCCAAAGACCAAUGUUAUGGCUCAAGAAUCUUCAUAAACUAUCAUUUUAGGAACUCUGUACGGCAAGCAUUGGGGGGGGCAACAAGAGCACCCACGUCUCGUAUGAAGAGGGCAUUAGGAGUUGACAGUUCUUCAAAGUCACCACAGAGAACUUCAAGAAGGACAAACACGACGUUUGCAACACCUUCAAGUGUGUUGACAUCAAGCCAGUGUGUGGUGACCAGCAGAGUCAGAUCCUGAAGUGCUUCAGGGAAAACAUAGGACAGACCCUCGCCUGCUCUGGCAUCGCCAACCUUUACAUGCAGUGUGUGGAUAACCACAAGGUCUCACACGUCUUUUAUCUCCUUCGCAGACAGACAGACAGACAGACAGACAGACAGACAGACAGACAGACAGACAGACAGACAUGUUCUUGUGAAAUUUGUAGUCUGCUCAUGUUCACGUUUUAUUUUUGUUAUUUUUAAACAUAUUUUCCUUCCCCUCACUCCAUCUUUACUUCCUCUGUUCACUCUCAUCCUUCAUAUUUUGAACAGCCAUUUUAGUCAAGCCCUUUCUCCUCUUUGCUUUUCAGACUAAGUGCACUGGAGGGUAGAAGAGCCUUAAUUUCCACCAAUUGCAUUACUGUUAAACCAAAGGGACAGGCACCAUCAGCCAUCAAGGCACACCAAAGCCAGUUGAACUGUACAGACACCAGGGCCACAGCAGCUGUUCCACCAUUCCUUACUCCCAUCCAUGGUAUCUGUAUGAACUUGGCACAGGGUCAGAGGUAGAACGAGGAGACCAUGUCUUGACCCAGUCCAGGCUAUGACAGACCACUGGUACUGUCUUCGCUGGUACUGAUGUCAAAGGAUGUGGUAGAUUGGGUCUGAAAGUGAAGGAAGUGCAGUUCAAAUUGACAGUGCUACUACCACAGGAAACGGACAGUGUUACCAUGACUACACUAACACAAGAAAUAAAGCAUAGCUGGUGCUUCAAACACAUCUCAUCCCUGACUGGACGUAAACGCAUCAUAUAAUAUAUCCACCAAUCGAAAUAAUGGGAUUAAUAUUUUGCUAUUUACAGCAGUAAGAAACAUAAGGAAUGGCCGCGUUGUGAAAUAUAUUGUGCAUCGUUUGUGGAGUUAAUAUGAACCUAUGCCUUAAUGUUCCAUCAAAACAUAUUUCUGAAUCAUGGAGGGUGUGAAAGGGAGUUGUUCUGAGCUCAAUAAAUUGUUGUGAAACCCC